GAUGAACGCUGGCGGCGUGCCUAAUACAUGCAAGUCGAGCGAACAGACGAGGAGCUUGCUCCUCUGACGUUAGCGGCGGACGGGUGAGUAACACGUGGAUAACCUACCUAUCAGACUGGGAUAACUUCGGGAAACCGGAUCUACUAACGGAUAAUAUAUUGAACCGCAUGGUUCAAUAGUGAAAGACGGUUUUGCUGUCACUUAUAGAUGGAUCCGCGCCGCAUUAGCUAGUUGGUAAGGUAACGGCUUACCAAGGCGAGGAUGCGUAGCCGACCUGAGAGGGGGAUCGGCCACACGGGAACUGAGACACGGCCCCGACUCCUACGGGAAGCAGCAGUAGGGAAUCUUACGCAAGGGGCGAAAGCGUGACGGAGCACAGCCGCGUAAGUGAUGAAGGUCUUCGGAUCGUAAAACUCUGUUAUUAGGGAAGAAGAAAUGUGUAAGUAACUAUGCACGUAUUGACGGUACCGAAUCAGUAAGCCACGGCUAACUACGUG
rnacentral:rRNA from 1 species